rnacentral:lncRNA from 10 species
AGCAUUGGUAUCAACACCAGAAACAUGUUUUGAACUAACAUGGAAGAAAGAGCUGGUUUUGUAAAUAGGUGAACCUGGUAUUUGACUACGUAGUAGUCAGGAAAUUGGUGGAGUCUGCAAUCUGUGGGGCUCUGGUGUCUGGAAAAUUUUACAGUUGCAGAUUGAUGUGAGCAUGUAGCAUUAGGCAGAAUAUUCAAUCCAACUUUCCAUUUUAUAAUGCAUACAAAGAGAACAGUUGUGUUGCAUCAUUAUUACAUCAAAAGGUCUAACUUUUAUUAUUCACUUAUGUAAGAUUCACAUUGAUUUAAAUAUGGUUAUGGUAAUAAAUGAUAGGCAUAGAGAAAUGCUACUGACAUCUUUCAUGUUCAUCUCCUCUGAGUUGAAAUAUAUUUAAACCUGUUACUUAAUGGGCCUGAUAAAUUAUUUUGACCUGUCAGAAUAGACUAAAAAAAUUUAGCAAUGAUAAUUUUCAAUUUGGCAGCAAAUAUAUACCGUAUGCAUAAUAAUUUUUUUACAAUAGUUUUCUCUGAAUAUUCAUGUCUUUGAAUUUCAAUACGAUACCAUUUGUAUCAUAAAAUUGUAUACCAUUUUUGGUAUAUUAUUCAUUGUAUAUUCAGAGAGUGUGAAAGAAAACCUUAGUUGGUGCGCAUACUUUUCAUCUCCUGUUGUUCUCGAACAUGAAUGAGAACUUAUUGCAACACAUUUUCUUUUCCAUGUGUUGGCGUUAACAUGUUUUUAUGGGCUUAUAGAAUUUUAAAUGUUGAUAAACGAUGUUUCCAAAGGUUCAAGUUUGGAUUUUCUCUAUCCACCAGGCUUAAUCAGUCUAGCAGUGUCUUUAGUAGCAGAUAGAAAAUAAAUUAUAGAAAUUCUCAUUUUAAAAACACUUUUUUCAAAGCUGUUUGGGAACUAAAAUAAAAAAAAAUUUCAGCCCUAUGGAAACAUGGAUUACCAUCUUGCAACCUCUUGUCGUCACUAAAAUUUUAUUUUAGCAAAGGCCAACUAUAAGCAUUCAAAGUUAUGGGUAACAUUAUUUUUCUGCCUUACAUUAAACUGAAAUGCUCUAAGUGGUCAGUUUAAGUGUGAAAACAUUUACCUUGUUUAACAAGGGAGAGAGAAGGGGUAAUGGAACAAGCAUCAUCCAGAACUGAAUGAAAAUAAGAUAUUUUACUUUUUUUCUUUAAUCAGCACAUUUCUUUUGAUAAAUAGUCAUGAGACGUGUUCUGUGAGUCACUACAAUUCUCACUUGGCACUUGGAACAGUCGUGUUAUAUAGGUUUACCAUAACUCUCAGAACAGGAGUAUAUUACAAACAAGUGGAAUAGAACAUAGAGAAUACAUAAUUUGUUCUAAUAUUCCUCUUCCUUAGAGCCUUCAAACUUAAACCAAGUUGAAAAAAAAAGUUUCCCAAAUUGAAAACAUUGCCUAUGGAUUAUCUACAGAAGAGAGGAAAAUAAGCAACCAUUUUGAUUCCACAAACCAAGCGAAGAAUAAGGACAUGAACAGACCAAUGUCUUGACACCACUGGCAAUAUUACAUUUACCUGGACAAUUUUGAUAUUGUCAAAGAGAGAGGAUAUAAUGGCUAAGGAUGUUCCUAGAGCUGCUGAAGGAACCAGAGAGCUUUCAUCCAUAAAAAUAUCACUGGUGUCUUUCUUUUACUAAAACUGAAAAUUCAUCUUAAAGAAUUCCUAAUAAAAAUAAAUAUUAAUUUGUUCACAGCUGCAAGUUUAACUUAGUACAGGACCACAGACAAGAUAAACUGUGCUAUAUUUUACAUUUCUGAGUCAAUAAUAUUGGAAGCAGCUUCAUUUUAUAGUGGGGGAAAUUAUUGGCAUAUGGGGGAUUUUAUCACAUAUCAUGUAGGGUGAGAAAUUGAUGUUUGGGGAGAUGUUAUCACAUGACUUAAAACAGAAGACUGGCAUAAAACAAACUAUGUGAAUUGCCUUAAUUAUUAUUAUUAUUACUUUUUUUCAAGAAAAAAUAGUACUUUACUGGUAUACAAAGGGUAGUUCUUUGGGUUUUUAAUGAAAACAAAUAUAACAAUAACAUAUAGAAUCAUCAUUCAACUAUCAUAAUAUAAAACACAAUAAAAUCCUAUCUCACGUUUCCAAGCCCACCUGGGGAUAUGUAGAACUCUGAUGAAAGGUUUAUUCAGUAAGAUUUGACGAGAUGUAAAAAGCAAAUUUAUUUACCGAACACAUGGGCCAUUAAGGUGGCACAAAUUAGCAUUCUGAGCGUUUUGGCUUCUGGUACUCAAGUCAGACUUCCAGAUACAUUGAUAAAGAUGGAACAGGCAAGUUUGAUGCCAAGGUGGCAUCACUGUGGCUGACCAAUGAUUCGGAAUCUCACAUUGGUGUGACUAGUGAUUAUAGUUAAGUCAAUGCUUUGCCACCCCCCAGCUUUGUUAGUUUUUGUAAAAUCAAAUUCACCAUGUCAACUGUACCUCCCUCCAAUGCUUGUGGUAAUGCUCUUUCAAAUGAGGUAUUCUUGUUAGCAGGUAAAACCUUAUAUGAUCCUUUGCCAAGAGAUUGAUAUUAGAUAAAACCCUGGUUAUAUUUUUUAAGCCAUAAGAAUAUAAGAGGAGAAAAAUAGCAUGAAUAUUUUUCCUUUAUUUUUUGCAGGGUCACAAGCAUGUAGAGCAAACCAUAGUCUAUUUUUAAUUUCAAAAUAGUGCUCAUGUUUGUGAACAUUAAUGCCAAAGUUUUCAAUAAGCUUGGUUGUCAAAAGAACACUGCCUUCAAUUUAUAGUCACUAAAUGCAUGUGGAUUAAAAUAUUUUUAGAUCUCAAAACUAAAGUUCAAAUUGGCUCAUGUUAGUAAAUAGACAUACUUAUCACUCAAUUUAUUCGACAGUGUCUGUUUGUAGUUUUAUUGUGAAGAACAGCCAUUUUAAAAUAGCCAAACAUCCAGUUUUUGUGAGAGCUGAAUAUUUCAUCAUACAUUGGAUAACACUAAAUUUUCCCCGACUGACCACUCUUGGUAGUCGAUUUAAAAUUUGUUGUAAAAUUUCAGUGAAUUAACUAGGCUUUUAUUUAAUAAAAAUUGCUGUGGAUUUACAAAACAAAACAAAACAAAACAAAACAAAACAAAAAAAAGUUCAGUUAGGAGACCUUAGUUGAAACUGACAUAAGAUUUUUGCUGAUAAAAUAAAUGAAAGAAACUAUGACUAAAAAUAUUCCCCGAAGAAACAAUGUUCUUUGCAUAUAGCUCCAUGUGCAGAUUAAAAACUAUAUUUUUAAAAACACUCCAACCUUUUUUCAGGACAAAAGAGAAAGCUAAUAUAGCUACAAAUGAUGUAGCUUUGGCAUCAGGUCAGUUCCAUCUUAAAUAUGUAGUAAUAUAAACGCUGUAACUAUAAGUCACAUUUUAAAACGACUUUAUGAAAUUUAUAGAAAUAUGGCUUAGAUUUUGGAGCUAUUUUGAGUAGCAAAUGACUUGCUUUUACUAAAUUCAGCUUUUUUAAAAGCACAUUUCUGUAAUCAGUCAUUAUCCCUAUUUUUAUCAGAGAGAAUCAUCAAAAUGUCAAGUGAAUUGGCCCAGUUUCCUCGUAGAUGAUUGGUAGUGAAGCCAACAACUGUGUUCACUGUUCUGUGAUGCUCGAUCUUGUGCCCAGAUCCCUUGGCCACAAGGCUUUUUCGCCAAUAUCCAGUACUUCCACACAUUUUUCUAUAAUCCAUUUAAAAACCAGAUGCCAUAAAAUGGAAUUUUUCUUGACUAUUUGAUAAAAGUUAAACUUUCCAGGAUCUCACGAACUCAAUUCCUUUUUCAUCUCUACUAAUGUUAGCAUAACAUCAUAAGAGACAUAAAGCAUCUCACGAAGGGUCUUUAUCCAAUAUUAGUUGCCCCUAGCCCUAGGGUCCUAUACUGAAAUUAUAUAACAAUGUGUGUUAAGUUGGGUUGACAAACGUCCAAUAAAACCCAUAUCAUUAUUUUGGUUAACAAAAUUUAACACACUUCACUAUAGCUUUAAAACUCUCUGACAUCAUUGUUUCUCAAUAGAUUUAUGUUGAACAAUCCUAUUAGUGAGAGACUUUAAAAAUAAUAUUUGUUGUACUGGCAAAAAUACAAUCUGGGUUUCCAAUGAAGGCUCUCUCUGCUAAUUUUCCGUUGUCUUGUUAUACCAUGUCCUGCACACUACCUGGAUUUGAGGAAGAUUUUAUAAGCAUUCAAAGUCAGUACUCAAAGUCAGUAGCUGAUGUGAAAUGAUACAAUUGUAUGACCCAACUCAAACUGUUAGCAUAAUAGUCUUGCUAGAGUGCAUAACAUCUUAACAUUAUAUCUACUUCCCAGCCCCUCCAAUGCCCUAAAAUGAUUAAUGCCCCAAAAUGAUUAAGACUCCCAAGUGUGACAUUGGAGUUCCUUUUGUUAAAGUAAAACCAACCUAAUCAUUGAAAAUAAAAUGAUUUUACCAUGGCUUUGUAAAAGAAUGACAGGUACUAAGACUCAUAUUUUUACAAUUCUGUAUGUGUGUGCGUAUAUAAGCAUUAACCUUAGAACUCGUCACUAUACUAUUACUUAUUUUUAAUUAUACUUCUUUGCUCACAAAUCAUUUUAGCCCUAAUCUUUAAAAAUUGCCUUUAGAGAUGACCUGCCAGUCUGAAAAUAACAUGACCCCAUUAUCGGCUGUCUUAGUUAACCAAACUCUAAGAUACUCUACCUGAUCAUAUAUAUUAAUAGUCAGAUUUUACUUCGUUUGACAAAUACAUUUUAGCAGUUUCUACAGUCAACUUAGCCACCUAGGAAGGAUGAGUUUCCAUCACUGAGAAGAGGAAAGAGAAGACCCUCAAAUUGAAGGUAAUGUUCAGUCCCUUGACAUCUGAACAUUGAUGACCCAACCAGAGAAUUCUUUAAACUCUGUGACUCUUCAUGACCUGCAUGAACUUCUUUUUUUUUUUUUUUUUUU